rnacentral:rRNA from 1 species
GAUGAACGCUGGCGGCGUGCCUAAUACAUGCAAGUCGAGCGAAAAGACGAGGAGCUUGCUCCUCUGACGUUAGCGGCGGACGGGUGAGUAACACGUGGAUCACCUACCUAUAAGACUGGGAUAACUUCGGGAAACCGGAGCUAAUACCGGAUAAUAUAUUGAACCGCAUGGUUCAAUAGUGAAAGACGGUUUUUCUGUCACUUAUAGAUGGAUCCGCGCGGCAUUAGCUAGUUGGUCGGGUAACGGCUUACCAAGGCUACGAUGCGUAUCCGACCGGAGGGGGGGGUAGCCGACAUUGGAAGUGGACCACGGACCAGGGUCCUACGAGAGGCAGCAGUCGGCAACGUUCGGCAGUGGGCGGGAACCUUGCGGAGCGGGCGGGCGUGUGUGGUGGCGGCGUUGCGAUCGGAAUGCUCUGUUAUGGGUGAUAAACAGAUUUGUAAUUAACUGAAGCGUUAGUGACGGUACUUGGUCAGAAAGCCACGGCUAACUACGUG